GUCUCGGUAGCAUAGUGGUUAGUGCCGCGGAUAAGUUGAGACGCGGGUUCGAAUCCCGCCUGAGAGG
rnacentral:tRNA from 1 species